GGUAUAGUUCAGUUGGUAGAACGACGGUCUCCAAAACCGUAUGUCGAGGGUUCAAGUCCUUCUGCC
rnacentral:tRNA from 1 species